rnacentral:rRNA from 1 species
GUAGGUGGCAAGCGUUGUCCGGAAUUAUUGGGCGUAAAGCGCGCGCAGGCGGUUCUUUAAGUCUGAUGUGAAAGCCCACGGCUCAACCGUGGAGGGUCAUUGGAAACUGGAGAACUUGAGUACAGAAGAGGAAAGCGGAAUUCCACGUGUAGCGGUGAAAUGCGUAGAGAUGUGGAGGAACACCAGUGGCGAAGGCGGCUUUCUGGUCUGUAACUGACGCUGAGGCGCGAAAGCGUGGGGAGCAAACAGGGAUUAGAUACCCUGGUAGUCCACGCCGUAAACGAUGAGUGCUAAGUGUUAGGGGGGUUUCUGCCCCCCUUAGUGCUGCAGCUAACGCAUUAAGCACUCCGCCCUGCGGAGUACGGCCGCAAGGCUG